UGUGUGAGUGUGCGCCGCGCCACGUGCAUGCGCUGGGGUAGGGGAGGAGCUGCCACUAGCUCAAGGCUAGCCCUCUGAAGAAGGUCUCAGGUGCUAG